AUUGAACGCUGGCGGCAUGCUUUACACAUGCAAGUCGAACGGCAGCGCGGGCUUCGGCCUGGCGGCGAGUGGCGAACGGGUGAGUAAUACAUCGGAACGUGCCCAGUAGUGGGGGAUAGCUCGGCGAAAGCCGGAUUAAUACCGCAUACGACCUGAGGGUGAAAGCGGGGGAUCUUCGGACCUCGCGCUAUUGGAGCGGCCGAUGGCAGAUUAGCUAGUUGGUGGGGUAAAGGCCUACCAAGGCGACGAUCUGUAGCUGGUCUGAGAGGACGACCAGCCACACUGGGACUGAGACACGGCCCAGACUCCUACGGUAGGCAGCAGUGGGGAAUUUUGGACAAUGGGCGAAAGCCUGAUCCAGCAAUGCCGCGUGUGUGAUGAAGGCCUUCGGGUUGUAAAGCACUUUUGGCGGGAACGAAAAGGACUGUGCCAAUACCACGGUUCGAUGACGGUACCCGCAGAAUAAGCACCGGCUAACUACGUG
rnacentral:rRNA from 1 species